GGGCACUUUGCACAUGCUCAAAAGAGAGAAACAAAUCUCUGCCUUGCCACGGGAUCUACAGAUCCGGAGGCUUGUCCCAUGCUCUCCCACACCAGUGAGUCACACCGUGUUAGCAGCAGAGGGCCAGGUUGCCUUCGUUUGAUUCCGUUUGAGGGAAGGGACUGCACCUCAGGUUUCAGGGUCCCUUUUGCCCGUACACCUCCAUCUCUGUUAUCAUUGAGGGUCCUCAUCUUUCCGCCUCCAGGUUAUUUCUGGCUGCUUCCUUCCCAUGGGCUCAGCACCAUCUGUUCCUGGCAUCUGAUCCACAGCAAGAGACAGGCUAAUCCAGUGCUCAAUCGCUCCCUGGCAGCUUGAGGAAGACCAACCCAGCCACUAAACUCUUCUGGCAUUUAUUAUGCGCUUACUGUAUACCGGGCACUGGAAGUAUAAAGACCAAACCAAAGACAUUCUUGUCCUCUUGAGAAGCUCCCAUUCCACUAGGUGGACUACAACAUUUAUAAAAUUCAGUGACUACAAGGCAUUGUGGGGGUGCUGGAAAGGAUAAGGAACUUGUCUCAUCAAAAGCAAAGAAAUAUACAAUAUGAAUACAAUAUAAAAAGACAAUGUACACAAAUCAUUGCCAAGUCUGCCCUUGUCCGGUUACUUGCAGCAACAUCCCAUCAAUGAUUGAUGAGUCUAAGGGCGCGUGAGGAAGAUCACUGAUUUGGAGACAAGGACCUUCAUUCAAAUAUUGACUCUUGCCAUCUGUGUGGCCACGGACAGCUCUCUGAGCCUCAGUUUCCUUCUUUGCAAAAUGAGUUAGACCAGAUGAUCCAAGUAGAGCUGAAUGUCUUUGGACUUGAACUUCUGCUCAGUGAGAGGCCCCUCAGUGGGCUGGCUCUUCUGCCACUGGCUCUUGGCCAUCUCUGAAGAUGCCCCUUUGUUGAAAGUUGCGCUUCAAAGUAGCUCCUCAAGGUAUUCCUUGGGCCUGAGUUCCACUGGAGAUUCUACUAACUCUAGACCUUAUUCUGUCACUAACUAGCUGUGUGACCUUGGGCAGGUCACUUCCCAGUCUGAGGCAGGGUUUCAUCCUCUGAAAAUUGAAGGGGUAGAACUCAGUCUCUAAGAUUCCACUCCCUACAUCCAACCAUCUCCCAGCUACUGCUGCCCUUUUAGCUGCUCUCCACCCAAAAAGAGAAUCUCUCAAAAAGCCCAUUGAGUCAUAACAGAAAACUCAAGGGUUUAUUAAUAUUAUUGAUUGAACCUCCAAAACUCAUGAUCACAGAGAAAUAAAUGGGGCUGGGGGACAGUCA
rnacentral:lncRNA from 1 species